rnacentral:rRNA from 1 species
UGGGGAAUAUUGGACAAUGGGCGGAAGCCUGAUCCAGCAACGCCGCGUGAGGGAUGACGGCCUUCGGGUUGUAAACCUCUUUCAGUACCGACGAAGCGAAAGUGACGGUAGGUACAGAAGAAGGACCGGCCAACUACGUGCCAGCAGCCGCGGUAAUACGUAGGGUCCGAGCGUUGUCCGGAAUUAUUGGGCGUAAAGGGCUCGUAGGCGGUUUGUCGCGUCGGGAGUGAAAACAGCGGGCUUAACUCGUUGCUUGCUUUCGAUACGGGGCAGACUAGAGGUAUGCAGGGGAGAAUGGAAUUCCUGGUGUAGCGGUGAAAUGCGCAGUAUCAGGAGGAACACCGGUGGCGAAGGCGGUUCUCUGGGCAUUACCUGACGCUGAGGAGCGAAAGUGUGGGGAGCGAACAGGAUUAGAU